rnacentral:rRNA from 1 species
UCGGGUGGGUUGCCGAUGCACGUCGCGGACCCGAGGUGACGGGCGGCACGUUAGAAACGCCGACCUACCGCGCUGGCAGUGCCCUCCCGCGCGCCCGGUUUUUGCCGGACGCGGAGAAGACGACGCGACGAGACGACGUCGCCGCCGGCACGGAAUCGACGCGGCCGGCCCGGUCUCGAAGCUCCCGCAGACACUGACCCGCGCACGCCCGAGACGGUGGGGCGCCGAGGGGCACGACGAGCGCGCCUUCGUCGACGAGAAGAGACCGGUUCGCUACGAUAUACGAUCGCGUUUCGUUCUCGUCCGCAGAGGGCAGUACGAGCCAAAAC